UGAUUUUGUAGCAAGCUUAAUCAUUGUGAUUAAUUGCAUAUAUGAUUGAAACUUCUAGGCGUAGAUUUCAAUUUCAUUGAUUUAUAUCAGCAUUUUAAGGUAUUAAUUGCCACAAUUACGAAGUUAGGAUUCAAAUUGCUACUCUUGCAACAUUUCUGAUGUAGGAAAGAGUUUGCACAGCAAAAAGAGGAGAAAAAGUGGAACUAUGGAAAAUUAGGUCAGAAAAAUAAGAACGAUUCUGUGCAGGAAAUUUGGAUAGCUAAGUAAUUAGGGUUGAGCGGACUGUAAACAUUAUCUUAAGCACUGUAGCAGCUGAGGGGAAAAAAGAGGAAGAUGAGAGAUGAGCGAAGAAAAAACUAGGUACCAAGCCUUCAAAUCAAAUACCUAUAAAAAUAAUUAAUCACAUACAUAUUGGUAGACUUAGUGAUCCAAGUCCUUUUGGGAAUGGGAUUAGAAACUAGGGGGCUCAAACAAUACUACUUGGGAAGUAACCUGUCCUUUUGGGAUUAGGAAUCCCAAACUAGGAA
rnacentral:misc_RNA from 1 species